rnacentral:rRNA from 1 species
UACAGAGGUCUCAAGCGUUGUUCGGAUUCAUUGGGCGUAAAGGGUGCGUAGGCGGCGCGGUAAGUCGGGUGUGAAAUCUCGGAGCUUAACUCCGAAACUGCAUUCGAUACUGCCGUGCUUGAGGACUGGAGAGGAGACUGGAAUUUACGGUGUAGCGGUGAAAUGCGUAGAUAUCGUAAGGAAGACCAGUGGCGAAGGCGGGUCUCUGGGCAGUAACUGACGCUGAGGAGCGAAAGCGUGGGGAGCGAACAGG